rnacentral:rRNA from 1 species
GUGCCUACGGGGGGCAGCAGUGGGGGAUAUUGCACAAUGGGGGGAACCCUGAUGCAGCGACGCCGCGUGGGUGAAGAAGCGCCUCGGCGCGUAAAGCCCUGUCAGCAGGGAAGAAAAUGACGGUACCUGAAGAAGAAGCCCCGGCUAACUACGUGCCAGCAGCCGCGGUAAUACGUAGGGGGCAAGCGUUAUCCGGAUUUACUGGGUGUAAAGGGUGCGUAGGCGGCCUGCUAAGUCUGGAGUGAAAGGUACCGGCUCAACCGGUACAGGC